UCAAACGGUGAGCAAAUACCUAGCUGCCCUACAUGCUUCAGUUUUCUCAAGAGAAAGUCCCAACAACCAGUAACUAAUGAGGCACACUUAAACGAAAAGUCAGGACCUUUGGAUAGAAAAGAGACUGACCCAAAGCCAUAAUACCCGUCAUUAAGUAAUCCCAGCUCAUAAAAAUAAAACGAGAAAAUGAGAAUAACAACGUCAAACCAAACGACCUUCUUCCCAAAGCAAUUUUCUCUCUAUUAAAUGAAAAUCAAACAAAAUCGACCACGCCACAAACAAAGAUGAUGAGUCUGCUGCUCGAAACAAAUCG
rnacentral:lncRNA from 1 species